AGAGUUUGAUCCUGGCUCAGGAUGAACGCUGACAGAAUGCUUAACACAUGCAAGUCAACUUGAACUUCGGUUUGGGUGGCGGACGGGUGAGUAACGCGUAAAGAACUUGCCUCACAGUUAGGGACAACAUUUGGAAACGAAUGCUAAUACCUGAUAUUAUGAUUUUAGGGCAUCCUAGAAUUAUGAAAGCUAUAUGCGCUGUGAGAGAGCUUUGCGUCCCAUUAGCUAGUUGGAGAGGUAACGGCUCACCAAGGCGAUGAUGGGUAGCCGGCCUGAGAGGGUAAACGGCCACAAGGGGACUGAGACACGGCCCUUACUCCUACGGGAGGCAGCAGUGGGGAAUAUUGGACAAUGGACCAAGAGUCUGAUCCAGCAAUUCUGUGUGCACGAUGAAGUUUUCGGAAUGUAAAGUGCUUUCAGUUGGGAAGAAAAAUGACGGUACCAACAGAAGAAGUGACGGCUAAAUACGUG
rnacentral:rRNA from 1 species